AUGGACUUGCUGAGUGGUUUGAAGGUGGAAAGACACUUUUUCACACUUUUUUCGAAGCGCUUGUGCACCGCUGUUUACCCACCCUUGCAUCCCUCAUCCAGCCCCUGGCCUACCACAGGCAGUGAGUGCAGCAAAUCGCACAAAAACAGAAGCUAUCGCAGAACAGAAUCAACAAUUAUGGGCCAAUCAAAUCUCUGGGGUAAGCAAUCACUCAUAUACACAUAUGUUAAUGAUAAAACCCUCUCGGACUGUGAUCCGAUGGAAGACAAGUUUCUAUUGGGUUAAACGAGUCAUAAUGACUCUAAGGUAGCCUAAAGACCAGUCCUCUUUCCAUGGAGUCAGUUUGUCUUGGAUGUAGCUCUGUGCAUGUGAUGAGCCACUAUUUUAAAUGUUAACAUGUGUUUUUCAUAAUAAUUUCGUAGUAACUCAGGUUACUCAGGUGCAUGAUAGUUAUAUUUUGAGCUCACUGUUAUUGUUUGCUAAGAGUCCUUAUGACCUCUUUACUUACUUUUUAUUUACCCUGAUACAGUGAUGAUACAGUGUUAGUGGCCAUUCAAAUAUUCUAUCUAUGCUUCUGCUGGGAGCAUUCUCUGAUAUGAUGCUUCUAACCUUCAGAAAUAUCGUACCUGCUGUUUAAUUUUGGCUUUACCACCAAAAAAUAUACACUGUGGUAGCACAUUUUGACAUAGUUGUAUAAUUUAGACAAAACACUGGUUCGGUUCAUGGACCGACAACGCUUCAGUUGUAUGAUUUGAGCAUACUGUUAUUAUUUGCUUGAGAGCUAAUAAAAAUGUAUUGACGAUUUAAAAAAAAAUCUUC
rnacentral:lncRNA from 1 species